rnacentral:rRNA from 1 species
CAGCAGCCGCGGGAAAACGGAGGGGGCUAGCGUUGUUCGGAAUUACUGGGCGUAAAGCGCACGUAGGCGGCUUUGUAAGUCAGAGGUGAAAGCCCGGGGCUCAACCCCGGAAUUGCCUUUGAGACUGCAUCGCUUGAAUCCAGGAGAGGUGAGUGGAAUUCCGAGUGUAGAGGUGAAAUUCGUAGAUAUUCGGAAGAACACCAGUGGCGAAGGCGGCUCACUGGACUGGUAUUGACGCUGAGGUGCGAAAGCGUGGGGAGCAAACAGGAUUAGAUACCCCUGUAGUCCCUGUCUCUUAUAC